rnacentral:rRNA from 1 species
GGAAUCUUGCACAAUGGAGGAAACUCUGAUGCAGCGAUGCCGCGUGAGUGAAGAAGGCCUUUGGGUUGUAAAGCUCUUUUGUAGGGGAAGAUAAUGACUGUACCCUAAGAAUAAGGUCCGGCUAACUUCGUGCCAGCAGCCGCGGUAAUACGAAGGGACCUAGCGUAGUUCGGAAUUACUAGGCGUAAAGCGCGCGUAGGCCGUUGAGUUAGUUAAUUGUGAAAUCCCAAAGCUUAACUUUGGAACUGCAAUUAAAACUGCUCGACUAGAGUUUGAUAGAGGAAAGCGGAAUACAUAGUGUAGAGGUGAAAUUCGUAGAUAUUAUGUAGAACACCAGUUGCGAAGGCGGCUUUCUGGAUCAACACUGACGCUGAGGCGCGAAAGUAUGGGUAGCAAAGAGGAUUAGAUACCCUCGUAGUCCAUACCAUAAACGAUGAUUGCUAGAUGUUGGAAAUUUAUUUUCAGUAUCGCAGCUAACGCAUUAAGCAAUCCGCCUGGGGAGUACGACCGCAAGGUUAAAACUCAAAUGAAUUGACGG